rnacentral:rRNA from 1 species
CAACACAAUGGGCGCAAGCCUGAUCUAGCCAUGCCGCGUGAGUGAUGAAGGUCUUAGGAUCGUAAAGCUCUUUCGCUAGGGAUGAUAAUGACAGUACCUAGUAAAGAAGCCCCGGCUAACUCCGUGCCAGCAGCCGCGGUAAUACGGAGGGGGCUAGCGUUGUUCGGAAUUACUGGGCGUAAAGCGUACGUAGGCGGAUCAGAAAGUAUGGGGUGAAAUCCCAGGGCUUAACCCUGGAACUGCCUCAUAAACUCCUGGUCUUGAGUUCGAGAGAGGUGAGUGGAAUUCCAAGUGUAGAGGUGAAAUUCGUAGAUAUUUGGAGGAACACCAGUGGCGAAGGCGGCUCACUGGCUCGAUACUGACGCUGAGGACCGAAAGUGUGGGGAGCAAACAGGAUUAGAUACCCUGGUAGUCCACACCUAAACCAUGAAUCCAAGUCGUCGGGCAGUAUACUGUUCGGUGACACACCUAACGGAUUAAGCAUUCCGCCUGGGGAGUACGGUCGCAAGAUUAAAACUCAAAGGAAUUGACGGGGGCCCGCACAAGCGGU